rnacentral:rRNA from 1 species
UACGUAGGGUGCGAGCGUUGUCCGGAUUUAUUGGGCGUAAAGAGCUCGUAGGCGGUUUGUCGCGUCGGCCGUGAAAUCUCCACGCUUAACGUGGAGCGUGCGGUCGAUACGGGCAGACUUGAGUUCGGGUAGGGGAGACUGGAAUUCCUGGUGUAGCGGUGAAAUGCGCAGAUAUCAGGAGGAACACCGGUGGCGAAGGCGGAUCUCUGGGCCAUUACUGACGCUGAGGAGCGAAAGCGUGGGGAGCGAACAGG